rnacentral:rRNA from 1 species
AAAAUUAGAGUGUUCCAAGCAGCACAUCCAAUUUCUGCCACCGAAUACAUUAGCAUGGGAUAAUGGAAUAGGACCCUGUCCUCCUAUUUUCAGUUGGUUUUGGCAGCGCGAGGACUAGGGUAAUGAUUAAUAGGGAUAGUUGGGGGCAUUAAUAUUUAAUUGUCAGAGGUGAAAUUCUUGGAUUUAUGAAAGAUUAACUUCUGCGAAAGCAUCUGCCAAGGAUGUUUUCAUUAAUCAAGAACGAAAGUUAGGGGAUCGAAGACGAUCAGAUACCGUCGUAGUCUUAACCAUAAACGAUGCCGACCAGCGAUUAGGAGACGUUGAAUACAAAACACCACCAUCGGCGCGGUCGUCCUUGGCGUCUGUCCUUACAGGGCCGCCGCGAGGGCGGUUACCCAGGAGGACCGGCGAA